CUUCAAUCAUCCUCUAAUUUCUCUCAUCUUCUUCCUCUUUUCUUUUCUUUGGUUUUUAUUGUUUUUGAUUCUGACCGAGAGCAACAACAAGAGGAAAUUACAGUAUUACGGGUCUCCUCCGGCCUCAAGAGGGUUAAGUUUCGUCCGGGCAUGACAAGUUUCAUGAGAUCUAUGUUCUCGACAGAGAGACCAUCGAUUUCCUAUUCAGGAUUAUGGUAUGGUGGUGCUUUUUCUCUGUUUUCGUGACCAGCUGGUUAUUCAAUGUUGAAAGAUUGCAUAGGGUUCAUAUAGAGUGAUCAAUUUUUGAGGUUAUAAAGACAGCUGGAGCAUCUAAAUAUCUCAAGCCUUUUCAAUUUCAACAUUUUAUUAAGGUUAAUCUCCAAUCUGCAGCAAUUGUUAUAAUUAUCUUUCAGAUGCAAUACAAAGUACACCAGGAAUUGCUGUCGUGGCUUCUCUGAAUGAUGUGAGACAACAAAUUGUCAAUGACAGUGAUAUUUCCAUUAAAGGUUUAUUAUACACCUAUUCUGAGUUUCUAUUAUAUUGCCUCUUUUGCAUUGAUAAGUUCCUUUUAACUGAUCUCAUUGAUCUUACAGCAAAAUAUAGUUCUGUAUGAAUAACUUUCUUUAGCCAAAGGAUAUCAUUCAGGAGAAAAUAUUCACUAUAGAAUCAACUGCAGUACCUCCAUCUUUUGUAUUAGUACAUAGCUGCUCUUA